UUUUAAAGCUACUCACCUUUGAACUCAUGUGGUUAGUGGCUGCUGGUUUCGAUGACAGAGUUCCAGAGUCGUCCGUUCAUUGCGUGGAAUGGUGGGUGUUUUCCUCAUCGUUCAAAUGCAUUCUCUCCUUUCCCCUCCUCCCCACUCCUUUUUUGGGUGAAAUGUACAUAGUCAGAUUUGCGGAUGUCAGUUAGAUGUGUAUUUGUUGGAAUCCUGCCUUCUCAUGGAGGACGGUUCAGGUAAAUAAACAUAAAACGUAUGAAGUGACCAUCCAUGGCUUCACAGUUCUUUCUAUUUUAUGUAAAGUUUUUUUGUCCACAGUUUUGACUGAUUGGCAUUUUUUUUUUCAAUAUAUGAAGUUUAUUGUCAAAUUGGUUUCCAUACAACCCCCAGUGCUCAUCCCAAAAGGUGCCCUCCUCAAUACCCAUCACCCACCCUCUGAUUGGCAUUUUCAAGAACUCUGGAAUUUUUGUGAGAAAGUAAUUAAAUGGAACCUUAAUUCUAUUAAGGAAUGGAAUUCCAUGAGGAAUUCCAAUUAAGGAUGUUAGAGUUCAUCUCUUAGAUCAGGGGUGGGCAGACUGUGCCCUGUUGCCUGUCUUUGCAGACAGCUCUUAGUUUUUAUAUA